UAUACCGUGAAACUGCGAAUGGCUCAUUAAAUCAGUUAUCGUUUAUUUGAUAAUACCUUACUACUUGGAUAACCGUGGUAAUUCUAGAGCUAAUACAUGCUGAAAAUCCCGACUUCGGAAGGGAUGUAUUUAUUAGAUAAAAAACCAAUGCCCUUCGGGGCUCUUUGGUGAUUCAUGAUAACUUUACGGAUCGCAUAGCCUUGCGCUGGCGACGGUUCAUUCAAAUUUCUGCCCUAUCAACUUUCGAUGGUAAGGUAUUGGCUUACCAUGGUUUCAACGGGUAACGGGGAAUUAGGGUUCGAUUCCGGAGAGGGAGCCUGAGAAACGGCUACCACAUCCAAGGAAGGCAGCAGGCGCGCAAAUUACCCAAUCCUGAUACAGGGAGGUAGUGACAAUAAAUACUGAUACAGGGCUCUUUUGGGUCUUGUAAUUGGAAUGAGUACAAUUUAAACCUCUUAACGAGGAACAAUUGGAGGGCAAGUCUGGUGCCAGCAGCCGCGGUAAUUCCAGCUCCAAUAGCGUAUAUUAAAGUUGUUGCAGUUAAAAAGCUCGUAGUUGAAACUUGGGCCUGGCUGGCGGGUCCGCCUCACCGCGUGCACUCGUCCGGCCGGGCCUUCCUUCUGAAGAACCUCAUGCCCUUCACUGGGCGUGCUGGGGAAUCAGGACUUUUACUUUGAAAAAAUUAGAGUGUUCAAAGCAGGCCUUUGCUCGAAUACGUUAGCAUGGAAUAAUAAAAUAGGGCGUGCGUUUCUAUUUUGUUGGUUUCUAGAGACGCCGCAAUGAUUAACAGGAACAGUCGGGGGCAUCAGUAUUCCGUUGUCAGAGGUGAAAUUCUUGGAUUUACGGAAGACUAACUACUGCGAAAGCAUUUGCCAAGGAUGUUUUCAUUAAUCAGUGAACGAAAGUUAGGGGAUCGAAGACGAUCAGAUACCGUCGUAGUCUUAACCGUAAACUAUGCCGACUAGGGAUCGGGCGAUGUUCUUUUUCUGACUCGCUCGGCACCUUACGAGAAAUCAAAGU
rnacentral:rRNA from 1 species